GUUGUUUCAUAGAAGAGAUGAUGACGAGACAGGACUGACAUAAGGACAACAAAGGAAAGUUGAAAAUUAAGAACAGAGAGGAUAUUGCUUUGAGGUGGAACCUGUUGAAGUACAAGUGGAAAACAAUUGACCUUCCAACUCUCAAAUGUGUCACAUUUUGUACAACCACAACGACAAAUAGUGAUGCAAUGUGAGCUAACAGGAUUGAGAGCAAUAUUUUGGAAUGUACUGACAUUAAGGCCUCUAGGAUUAGACUUCCAAGAGAUGAAAGGUAGGAGGUCUCUCUCUCUCACUCUAUUGCUCUCUCUCUCGCUCUCUCUGUCUCUCUGGCACACAGUUUGAGCCUGAGCUUUGUCUUGAAGACGAGACUUUA